UACGUAGGGGGCAAGCGUUGUCCGGAUUUAUUGGGCGUAAAGAGCGUGUAGGCGGCCUGACAGGUCUGCUGUGAAAACUCGAGGCUCAACCUCGAGAUGUCGGCGGAAACCGUCUGGCUAGAGUCCGGAAGAGGAGAGUGGAAUUCCUGGUGUAGCGGUGAAAUGCGCAGAUAUCGGGAGGAACACCAAUGGCGAAGGCAGCUCGCUGGGACGGUACUGACGCUGAGACGCGAAAGCGUGGGGAGCAAACAGG
rnacentral:rRNA from 1 species